CGCGCCGCUGCCGGGGGCCCCCUGCAGGCCGUCAGCCCCGCUGUCGCCGGCUCCUGCAGGUAGCGCGCGCCCCUGCAGACGUGUGAGGGGAGACGCCCUCGAUGCGGGCCCCAAGCACCGCAUCCUUCCGGCCUCGGGCACGGCCCACUGGUACCGCCCAGCCCGGUAGAGGUCUGCGACCUGAACUCCCCGCGGGCAGACCCCUCACCCUGUCGAAGUCCUUGGCCAAGCGGUGGGGAUUUACCUUUAUGGAGAAAGAACAUCAUAACGUCUCAAGGCAUAGAGUCAGAGAAGGCAAUGGCACCCCACUCCAGCACUCUUGCCUGGAAAAUCCCAUGGGCGGAGGAGCCUGGUAGGCUGCAGUCCAUGGGGUCGCGAAGAGUUGGACACGACUGAGCGACUUCACUUUGACUUUUCACUUUCAUGCAUUGGAGAAGGAAAUGGCAACCCACUCUGGUGUUCUUGCCUGGAGAAUCCCAGGGACGGGGAAGCCUGUGCCACCUAUGGGGUCGCACAGAGUCGGACACAACUGAAGCGACUUAGCAGCAGCAGCAGCAGGCAUAGAGUAGGAUUGGAGUUCCUUACCCCUUUGUUAAAAUUUGGUGUCCCAUGUGAUCUGUUUUAGACAAUGAAAGAUGAGCCUAAGUCUGUGUUUUACCUCUGAUGGACGCCGUAAAGAGUCAUUGCCUGAUUUGCCGUACUUUCCUAUAUCCUCUGCCUUGCCCUAGUUCAAGAGUUGGCAGCAUUUUUCUGUCAAGGACCAGAUAAUAAAUAUUUUAGACUUGUGGGCCA
ensembl:lncRNA